UCUGGCGGCAGUAGCGCGGUGGUCCCACCUGACCCCAUGCCGAACUCAGAAGUGAAACGCCGUAGCGCCGAUGGUAGUGUAGGGUCUCCCCAUGCGAGAGUAGGGAACUGCCAGGC
rnacentral:rRNA from 1 species